UAUUAAGCAUAAAUAGUUCACCAGAAUCUAACACAACACAUCAGUAUCCACAAACAACUCCAGGAGGAAACAGUCAUAUCACCAUCUCAGCUCAGCUAGGACAUUAUCUCAAGGGCCUCUCUGGUCUUCCCCAGGAUGUUAAAAACAGUUGCUGCAAUAUGAGAUGGAGUCAAGCCGGCCUCAGCCAGCUGAUCAGCAGGCGAUCCAUGGUCAAUGUACCGGUCAGGCAGAACCAAGGGUCUCCACUUUAUAUUGCCGUCGAGGAGGCCAUCAAUAGCCAUGAAAUGAGCAACAUGAGAUCCGAAGCCUCCAAUGGAUCCCUCCUCGACCGUGAUCAGGACCUCAUGUGACUUGGCGAGGCUGCGGAUCAGAGACCGGUCAAGCGGCUUGCAGAAACGUGCAUCCGCCACCGUAAGGUUCAACCCGUGCUGCGCCAUAAGGGAAGCUGCAACCAAACAGCUUUGAACUGCUGCUCCAUAUCCCAGUAGAGCCACUCUUUCACCUUCUACACAUAUUCUCCCUUUACCAACCUCAAGAGGGACUCCCUUGUUUCCAGGAGGGAGUGUGACACCAAUCCCAUUCCCUCUAGGAUAUCGGAAACAGGAAGGCCGGUCGUCGAUAGCUGCAGCAGUCGCCACCAUGUGAAACAAUUCUGCUUCAUUGGCUGGAGCCAUAACCACCAUGUUCGGCAGGCAUGCCAUAUAGGUAACAUCAAAUGACCCACUGUGCGUAGGUCCAUCUGCUCCAACGAGGCCAGCUCGGUCCAUCGCGAACCUCACCGGCAGCUUCUGCAGAUCCACAUCGUGAAUUACCUGAUCAUAUGCUCGUUGCAAGAAGGAUGAGUAUAUUGCACAGAAGGGCUUCAGACCUUCGGUUGCAAGGCCAGCUGCAAAUGUCACAGCAUGCUGUUCUGCAAUUCCGACAUCGAAGCAUCGUGACGGGAAGCGGCGGAGGAAGUAGUUUAAACCUGUACCACCUCCCAUUGCUGCAUGAAUCGCAAUGAUAUUUUUGUCCACCUCUGCCUCAGCUAUCAAAGCUUCCGCAAAAUAGUCCGUAUAAGCUCGGGUCGGAGCAAUGGCUUUGAAUUGUUUUCCAGUAGCUGGAUCAAAUUUGUUCACACCGUGGUAUUUAUCAGCAGCUCUUUCCGCAUAAGGAUACCCUCGCCCUUUUUCAGUGACAACAUGGAUAAGAACAGGGCCAGUAGACCUCGUGCUCUUCACCUCUUUCAGAAUGGUGACAAGGUCCUCUAUGUUGUGCCCGUCAACUGGGCCAAUGUAGUACAGACCAAGCUCUUCAAACAUGGAAGAACCUUUUCCACUGAUCAUGCCUCUAGCAUAUUCAUCAACUUUCGAUGCAAGUUCGUGCAUUGACCCACCAAUCUGCUUUGUGACUCCCUUUGCAACCUCCCGGAGUUCUCUUAAAGGCCUGUUCGACUGCAAUCUACUGAGAGCACUACUCAAUGCUCCAACCGGUGGAAUAGGUCCGUCAAGACUAGCAGUAGGUAGGGAAACCUGCUUGUUAUCAUUCAAUAUUACGAUCAUGUCUGAGUCGAGAUACCCAGCAUUGUUCAUUGCUUCAUAUGCUUGACCAGCCGUCAUUGCUCCAUCCCCUAUAACCGCUAUCACGUCGUUCUUUCCUCCUUUCAGGUCCCUUCCCACGGCCAUCCCGAGGGCAGCUGAGAUACUAGUCGAACUGUGACCAGCACCAAAGGCAUCGUGAUCGCUCUCUGAGCGUUUGGUGAAUCCAGCUAAGCCAUUGGUUUGUCUCAUGGUCGACAUCCUAUCCCUUCUCCCCGUCAAGAUUUUGUGUGGAUAUGUCUGAUGGCCAACAUCCCAGAUGAUCUUAUCAUCUGGAGUGUUGAAGACGUAGUGCAGCGCUAUCGUCAACUCGACCACUCCGAGGCUGGACCCGAGGUGUCCCCCGGUCUUGGAUACGUUGAAGAUUAAAUCAGAUCGCAGCUCAUCCGCGAGUUGUUUCAGCUCCUUGAAUGAAAGAUUCUUCAUGUGAAUUGGGUAGUUGAUUGUAUCUAGAAGAGGAGUAGGUGGCCUAUUUGUGUGGUACUCCCCACUCUCCCCGCCUUCUGAAUGUGAUGCAGAAACGCAUGAUCUUUUCCCAG
rnacentral:misc_RNA from 1 species